UACGUAGGGUGCAAGCGUUGUCCGGAAUUAUUGGGCGUAAAGAGCUCGUAGGCGGUCUGUUGCGUCGGCUGUGAAAACCCGGGGCUCAACUCCGGGCCUGCAGCCGAUACGGGCAGACUAGAGUUCGGCAGGGGAGACUGGAAUUCCUGGUGUAGCGGUGAAAUGCGCAGAUAUCAGGAGGAACACCGGUGGCGAAGGCGGGUCUCUGGGCCGAUACUGACGCUGAGGCGCGACAGCGUGGGGAGCAAACAGG
rnacentral:rRNA from 1 species